rnacentral:rRNA from 1 species
GGUAACCGCUAUUAUUGGGUCUAAAGGGUCUGUAGCCGGCCUGGUAAGUCUUUUGGGAAAUCCGGCAGCUCAACUGUCGGGCUAUCAGAGGAUACUGCUAGGCUCGAGACCGGGAGAGGUGAGAGGUACUUCAUGGGUAGGGGUGAAAUCUUGUAAUCCUUGAAGGACCACCAGUGGCGAAGGCGUCUCACCAGAACGGAUCUGACGGCAAGGGACGAAAGCUAGGGGCACGAACCGGAUUAGAUACCCGGGUAGUCCUAGCCGUAAACGAUACUCGCUAGGUGUCGGCCACGGUGCGACCGUGGUCGGUGCCGUAGGGAAGCCGUGAAGCGAGCCACCUGGGAAGUACGGCCGCAAGGCUGAAACUUAAAGGAAUUGGCGGGGGAGCACUACAACGGGUGGAGCCUGCGGUUUAAUUGGAUUCAACGCCGGAAAUCUCACCGGGACCGACAGCGAUAUGAAGGCCAGGCUGAAGACCUUGCCGGAUUAGCUGAGAGGUGGUGCAUGGCCGUCGUCAGUUCGUAU